rnacentral:lncRNA from 1 species
GGUGGUAUUUGCUCAGUUAGUGAGCUAGAAGCUGUGAGGCCUCACCCACAUUCCCUUUUCUGGGCCAGCACUCCAACCCCAGCCGCCAGCGAUCAAGGCUGCCUCUUCUCUGGGAUGUCAUCCUUGGCUGGCAGGAGCCAGUUUGCUCCAGGUUUUUGCUGUCCUGCCCCUGCCCCCAUGACUGAUGCAGAGGCACAGAAGGGGCCCCUGUAUCUCCGGAGGGGUGAAUCUGCCAGGGACACCUGCUGCGUGGGACAGGCUAAGACCAGACUUCCGGAAAUCCUCCCCGGUCAGCUGCAUCUCCUUCCAAGCUUUGCUUCCCUACUUUGCCUUGCAGGUCCUUCCAGAAGAGCACUCCCCAUCAACCCGCGGGCAGCUGAAUUCCCACCUCAGACUCUGCUCCAAGGGCGCCGUGUCUACGGAGGCGACGCUGAGGAUGGCUUAUCAGGUUGGGUCACUCACCCCACCACGAGGACCUGACCUUAAAUUCUCGGUGCAUCCUAAGUGUGACCCAGAGACCGCCUGCGUCAGAAGCACCUAGAAUGCUGUGGAAGCACCUUCAAUGCAGAUUCCUGGGCCCAACCCUGGUUCCACUGAAUCGGGGUCAGCUGGUGGGCCCAGGAAUUGGCAUUUUCAACAGCUUCCAAUUGUACACCAGAAUACUCAAGCUUGUGACUCCCCUGCUCACUGUUUUCUUCAUCCUUUCUCACUUCCUGCUGAGUACAUAUGUAUUUUACUACUUUUAGAGAUACUUUUACAAUAAAGGCAGUCUUGAAAGUGUGUCCGGAAUUGGUGGGUUCUUGGUCUCGCUGACUUCAAGAAUGAAGGCGCGGACCUGAGUGUUACAGUUCUUAAAGGCGGCACGUUGGGAGUUGUUCGUUUCUCCCGGUGGGCUCGUGGUCUCGCCGGCUUCAGAAGUGAAGCUGCAGACCUUCGCGGUGGGUGUUACAGCCCAUAGAGGCAACGAGUUCGGAAUUGUUCCUUCCUCCCGGUGGGCUCCUGGUCUCGAUAGCUUACAGGAACGAAGCUGCAGACCUUAGCGGUGGAUGCUACAGCUCAUAAAGGUAGUGCAGACCCAAAGACCAAGAGAACAAAACUACCACAACGCAGAACAGAACCCUAGCGGGUUGCCGCUGCUGGCUCAGUCUCCCCCACCCCCAGUUUGUUCUCGGGACAAACCAUCGGUCUAGGAUGAACUCCGUUUUCCACUGGAAGGUCUCAAGAGGCUAAAGGCACCCCACGGGCUUCUCCCCGAGGAAGGGACUGAGGACAGAGGAGGGCCACGGUUGCAAUGAGGACAGCUCCGGCUCAAAAGCGUCCCUGGACCCUUGACUCUCAGCUUGUCUUGUCUUCCUUAAUAAAUUUCAGUUUGCGGGGGAGGGGAGAGGGAUAGCAUUAGGAGAUAUACCUAAUGCUAAAUGACGAGUUAAUGGG